UGCCUGCGACCAGAGGGACAACCAGAGGAAGAGGAAGAGGUGUGAGUCGGUCCAGAGGGGCCCAGAGAAGACUGGAGUUCCCACCAGCCGCACGAGCUGCCCCAAGAGGAGCCAGAAGUUCCCAGUCAAGGGCUGUAGCCAACCUGUACAACCGUCCCACUUUCCGCAGGAGUGUGGAGGACGCUGAACAGGCCCUUCGGGAUGCAGAUGCCCAGCUGGUUGAAUGUAGCUAUUUCAAACGCAAUGUUAAUUUUAUCUUUAUGCUGAACAUUUAAGAUUCUUGACUGUUACAGGCAACUUGCCUACUGCAAUUUGUAUGCGGGUUGUUUUUUGUGUGUUGCAGUCGUCUACUGGAUAUGCAUUUAAGAUAAGUAUAAUUAUUUACAGUACCUAUUCCACUGGAACUUAUGCCCUUUUGCUCCUGAGCCAUUAUCCAUGUGCCUUGCACAUGACAGUGUCCAUUUCAAAUGAAGGCUUUCAGAUUCCUUGGAAGUUGUGUAGCUGUAUUUAACAUGACUGUACAGCUAUACGACUUUUUGGAAUUUCGGCCGUCAUGCGACGAAACUACCAAUUACCAUUCAUUGCCUACCUAAUCCAUUUCUGUCAGGCAACGGUGGAUAGCAUGUCUGUCGAGGAGAUGCGUGCCACCAUACUGGAGAUGGCGCGCACGCACCCUCCCCUCCAGUGGCGCUUCUUGGGGUGCCGCCUCCACCCGUCGGCUCCUC